rnacentral:misc_RNA from 1 species
GCGUAUCACUAAUACGCCUUACGAUUAACAACAUGGAAUGGUGCGAAGCGACAUGAAAGGUUGUUCAAGCAACCCGAACGUUGAGUCGGGCAUCUUUGAGUAAGGAUGAUUAGUGAUACGC